rnacentral:rRNA from 1 species
AUUGAACGCUGGCGGCAUGCCUUACACAUGCAAGUCGAACGGCAGCACGGGAGCAAUCCUGGUGGCGAGUGGCGAACGGGUGAGUAAUAUAUCGGAACGUGCCCAGUCGUGGGGAUAACGUAGCGAAAGCUACGCUAAUACCGCAUACGAUCUAUGGAUGAAAGCGGGGGAUCGCAAGACCUCGCGCGAUUGGAGCGGCCGAUAUCAGAUUAGGUAAUUGGUGAGGUAAAGGCUCACCAAGCCGACGAUCUGUAGCUGGUCUGAGAGGACGACCAGCCACACUGGGACUGAGACACGGCCCAGACUCCUACGGGAGGCAGCAGUGGGGAAUUUUGGACAAUGGGCGCGAAGCCUGAUCCAGCAAUGCCGCGUGCAGGAUGAAGGCC